rnacentral:rRNA from 1 species
UGAUCCUACGGGGCGCAGCAGUGAGGAAUAUUGGUCAAUGGGCGAGAGCCUGAACCAGCCAAGUCGCGUGAGGGAAGACGGUCCUACGGGUUGUAAACCUCUUUUGCCAGGGAGCAAGAACGGAUACGUGUAUCCGAGCGAGAGUACCUGAAGAAAAAGCAUCGGCUAACUCCGUGCCAGCAGCCGCGGUAAUACGGAGGAUGCGAACGUUAUCCGGAUUUAUUGGGUUUAAAGGGUGCGUAGGCGGACUGCCAAGUCAGCGGUAAAAUUGCGGGGCUCAACCCCGUCGAGCCGUUGAAACUGGG